AUCUUGGGGAUGAUAAAGGACGAGCUAGGGGAAUGCUGCAAGAAGACAGAUGAGCUUUGUAAUGCAGCCAAGACCUUGGCAGAAAUGCUGGCCCAAUGGGAGGAUGCUAUGUGGGAAAAGAAGCUUCUUGAGCAAAUGGUUAAAGAAUUGCAGCAAAAGUUGGAGGACCGAGAAAAAACCUUCGAGAGAUUUAGAGACAAACUCACAAAGGAAAUGAGAGAAAGAGACGACCUUCUGAGAAAGAUGAAUGAGAGGAUUCAGAUGCUGGAACGCUUACUGAAGUUACUAGAAACACUAGAGGAACAGGACAUGAAGAAAGGUGAGCUCCUUUGUGAUGCAGGAAAGAAACCUAGCAGGUAGAGAGGAGAGCUCAGCUCACAGUGGGGUGGGGAGGCUCCUGCAGUGCCCUCUCAAACUCUGACAGGAGGGAAUUCUAGAAGCUGGGAGCUCUCAUUCUGGGAAUGCACUCUGCUUCAUCUGAAAAAACAAGGCUAAUUGUGGUUGCUGGUCCAGUCACUCAGUCAGGGCCUUUCCUAGAAGAUUCCCAAACCUGCCCUUGUGUGUGGUCACAGGUGUAUUUAGACAUGUCCAUCUCCUUUUUCAUUGGAGAAGGAAAUGGCAAUCCACUCCAGUGUUCUUGCCUGGAGAAUCCUUGGGACAGGGGAGCCUGGUGGGCUGCCGUCUAUGGGGUCGCACAGAGUCGGACACGACUGAAGUGACUUAGUAGUAGUAGUAGUAUCUCAUUUUUCAUGACAGUUUGGUCACUAACAGAGUGGAGGGCUGUACCUCUCGGGGUUGAUUGUUGUUCUCUUCCCUUUCUAAAAUCUUCCUGGAGCAGAAGAGCAGGCCAAAAGAGAGGCAGCUGAAAGGGAAAACGAGCCUCUUGAACAAAAGGUUAAAGAACUGCAGCAAAAAUCGGAGAACCAAGAAAAAGUCUUCGAAGUAUUAAGAGACAAAAUGACAGAGGAGUUGAAUGAAAGAGAGAAAGCCUCAGCAGAAGAGCAGAUCAGAAGAGAGGCUGUUGAGAGGGAAAAUGAGUCUCUUGAAAAACAGGUUAAAGAAUUGCAGCAAAAUUUGGAGGACCAAGGAAGAGUCUUCCAGAGAUUAAGAACUGAAAUGACAGAGGAGAUGAGAGAAAGUGAAAACGUCUCAGCAGAAGAGCAGAUCAGAGGAGAGGCCACUGAGAGGGAAAAGGAGUCUCUUGAAAAACAGGUUAAAGAAUUGCAGCAAAAUUUGGAGGACCAAGGAAGAGUCUUCCAGAGAUUAAGAACUGAAAUGACAGAGGAGAUGAGAGAAAGUGAAAACGUCUCAGCAGAAGAGCAGAUCAGAGGAGAGGCCACUGAGAGGGAAAAGGAGUCUCUUGAAAAACAGGUUAAAGAAUUGCAGCAAAAUUUGGAGGACCAAGGAAGAGUCUUCCAGAGAUUAAGAACUGAAAUGACAGAGGAGAUGAGAGAAAAUGAAAAGGCCUCAGCAGAAGAGCAGGCCAAAAGAGAGGCUGCUGAGAGGGAAAAGCUUUUAGAGCAAAAGCUUAAAGAAUUGCAACAAAAGUUUGAGGACCAAGAAAGAGCCUUCAAGGUAUUUAGAGUCCAAAUGACAGAAGAGGUGAGAGAAAGAGACAAUUUUCUGAGAAAGAUGAAUGAGAGGAUUGAGAUGCUGGAGGCUGCAGUGAACAAUGAUAAUGACAAGGAUAAUGAGGAAAACACUGAAAAGUACUGAACUUCAUAGACACAGGAAGAUAAUGACAAAGAAAAUACUUCACAGCCUUUUGUUUUAAUCUCUGUUUGGGAGAAUAUAAAACAUGUGUGGUCACUAAUUACUCAGAUUUUUUGUUUGUUUCUUUUAAAUUCUGGUAAUAUUAAAAGUUUUCACAAGUGCUUUUUUGAUCUGGAUUAUUUCUAUCUAUGUAUGUACUUUUUCUUUUAUCAUUAAAGUUUUAAUGUAAAAAGUAGAAACAUCAUCUACUAUAGAACAUCAAUUCCUGGCCCACAAAGGAAAGAAUUAGUGUGGCUGGAUAAUUAAUUUAAGUGGAAAUGGAAGCAACUGAGUAGAAGACAAAGAGGUCAAGUUUGUAAUAUCUUGAAAAAAAGAAAAAUUUUAUUAAGUAAUGCUUCUGAAAGUCACAUAUGAAUAAUUAUACAAAUGAAUAUGUAUACUGG
ensembl:lncRNA